GGGCUCCGCCGAGACAAAAGGAGAGGUACUUCGGUCGGGGCCGGCCGAGAGCCCCCGAAAGGGUGGGCCUGCGAGCGGCGGACCCGGACAAAAGGGUGGGGAGCAAGCUUCCCCAGAAGGAGCAGGCUGGGCACUUGGGGCCCAGUUCCACCUGGGGACAAGGUGGCGCUUCUGGCGGCCCGGCCCAAGGCGGGUCCCGCUUGCUGCUAGGGCGCUCGGGGCCGGGCGUUGGGACGCUAACCUAGUUGGAAAUGUCCAAGGGGAAAGCAAGGGACGGGUUCCUCCGCGGGGUUUCGCGCCAGGUCUGGCCCCUCGGGAAGAGAACGUAGCCGCGAUCGGACCCCAGCGGUGACCAUUUGCGUUCGCCCGGGUUUUCAACUCGCCGCCACCUCCGAGGAGAACCGGCCUGCACCCCGCGCAGUCCUCGCGCAGCUGCCCCAACGUGGGUGGAGGGGCUGGGAGGGUCACCCCUCGUCCCUACAGCCGGGCUCGCGGGUCCGGGCAGCUAACGCCCGCGGGGCAGAGCCGGCACCCCGCCCCCCACGCCCAGCUUCACCCGGGCCUCCGAGCGCCGGGGGAUCCGGAUGAGCGACUCCCGGACUCGGGAGGAAGCAACUCGCGGAAAGUUCAUCAGUCGGGCUACUCCGAGGAACUUGGAGCCAGCCGCUAGCUCAGCUCAGGCCUUGAUUAUUCAGAUGAGUUCCUCUUUCUCGAAAACAAAACGAAACAAAAAUUGCAAACUCCAGCCGCCGACUGUGUGCAGCCAACUCGGAGGCACGCGCCGGGCACGGCGGCCGGUUCUGCCCUGGCCCCCAAGCCCUCCAGCCUAAGUUACCGAGCAGAACGUUUUUGGAGGACUCUGAGGGCAAACUGGGCAAGGUUUUUCUCGAACUUGCCUUCUGCCCGAAGAGCCGGGCUGGGCAAGGAGUAGCCAGGACAAGUAUUGGCAAGUCGCUGCCAAGGGUCCUUCUGGCCUCAGUGUCUGCAUCUGUUAAGGGGGAGCAAUGAUACCCUCUGCUGGGAUAGAAGGAACUAACUGUGGCUCAGCAGGUGUUCAGAAAAUUCUGAUUCCCUUUCCGCACCCCGCCAGCCCCAGCUCCUUAACUUGCCAAUUUGGUUAGAAAGGCUUGAAAAGGAAAGCCGGCCUGAGCGCCGAAAGAGCCUUCGUUGUCCAGAUUCUCGGCUGCGGGAUGGGCCCGGGCCCCGCCCCCAACUCCGGAACCCCCCACCCCACGGGCCGCAGGAGGUGGCGUGUACUCGCUACCGCAGCUCUCUCCCGGGCUGCGGCCUGGGGGCCGGGGCCGAGCGGGGAGCCUCCUGCCCCCCCCCCCCCCCGCCCCUCUUCUCGCUCAGCCUCCUGGCCUCUGGCCUUUGGGCCGGGAAAAUGGCUUAGAGGCCGGCGUCGAGACUUCGGGAAGAGGGGGAACAGAAUCGAGCCGCAAUAGCCUGUGCGAUCUCGGCAACUCCGAGGACGCUGGCGGCCGUGCCUGACACUGAACGGCGCGUCCCGGGCUCCCGGGGCCGGUCGGGGCGCGGCCGCCUGCGCUUCGUUUUGCCGGACUCGGGGCUCGGCGGGCGGGCGGGCGGGAGGCGCGAUCCCGGAGGCUCCUUCCCGCCACAGCGUCGACUGCGGAGGUCGGAGCAGAUGUAGCUACAGAAGGGACAACGCGUUUUCGUGAAAUCUAUCUCUUGCAACACAUUAAAUCUUCUGGUCAGAAGAGAAGGAGAAAUUCAAAGGCAGUUUAGAGGAGGAGAGAGAAAUCAAGCUGGAGACAAAUGCGAUCCGUGCAGGUGUUGGAGCAGCUUGCGUUAUAAUUGUAUCUAGCGAAAAGGUUGCCUUUAUUAUCCGUAAUGAUCGAACAAAAGUCACCAUAAUUAAACGUCUGGUUUUCUCCGAUGACUGAGAGGUGCUUGUCUGAAAGGCGCCGGGUACAGCGAGGGACUUCGGAAAUGGUUAACAAGACGCCCCGUUCUUUGAAUAGUGGCUUUGUCUUAUGGGGGUGGGGGGAAGAGAAGAGACGGAGAGAGAGAGAGAACAGUUAUCUAAUUUUCAUUGCCCCAAACCAGAGAUUUAUUGAUUGCGACAACAGUUUUAUUGUACUCGGGGAGGGGGGUUGCUGUAGAUUUAUAGAAACUGAUUUACUUUCGUUUGGAAGUAAAAUCAUAUGCAACAGUCUCCCCGUUGGAAGGUUGGACCUCAGCUCCUGUUAAUACCAUUAGUGACACAGGAUCGAAUUUCAAAUGAAGCCUGGUGACAAUUACAGACGGAAACAGAUGCCCUUGGAAAUUUAGGUCAAGUGUUCAAGAUUCUGGUUUCAUGGUCAAGGUUGUCUUGGGGGUAACCUUGAGGAGAUGCUCAUAAAUCUAUCCUCCUCUCCGAACUGGGGAUGCGCCUUCCAGCGGGAGUGAUAUGGAGAAGGGGAGGGGGCAGAAAAUUUAUUUAGAGGGUCCUCAGGUCACCGAAAACAGAAGAGAGGCUGAAGUAUGCUGAAAUAGAGAUGCAAGGUAGUGGGAAAAAAUCAUCUUGGUCUCAGUGAGUGACAGGCCUACUGCUGUUCAUUACAGAGCUGAAGAACUGGAACUGACAAACAUUCAGAAUACAGCUUUCAUUCUCAGUAGGUUGUACAAAGGAAAUGCGUGCAUCAAAUAUAUAUUGAGUCACCAUGGUGCAUCAAGAACUGCUCAGGCUCUGAGAAUCCACUGACAAGUAACCAAAAGCAGACAUGGUCCCUGUUCUCCUGCAGCUUGUGUUUGGGGGUGUGUAUGUGCAGUGAACAGGCACAUAAUAAAGAAGUAAUAAAUAAAUAGAAUAAUUGCAGAGUGACACAUGCUCUGAAGAAAAUAAAGCAGAGUAAUAUAAUAUAGAAUGAUGGAAGAAAGUUUCAUGCAUUGAGUAGUCAGGAGAGUUUCUCUAAGGAGGUAACAUUUGAACAAAGACUCAAAUGACAAGAGGCCAGCCACAAGAAGUCCUAGGGAAAGAACAGUGCAGGCAGUACAUCAAGUAUCUUAAAAAUAAUAGCUACUGUUUAUUGACUAUGUCACUUGUACUGUGCCAGGCACUAUUUUAAGCACCUAACUUUCACUGUAUCAUUAUUAAUCAUUAUUGAAGCAGAUAUCAGCUAGCAAGUGCCAGAACAAGACUUUAAACCCAGGCAGCCUGGAUUUCAAGCCUUUUUUCUUAAGCAAUAUGCAUUGCUAAUCUUCCCCCCUUAAGCACAGAUCAGUGUGGCUGAAUUGUAUGGGGUAAAUUGUGUGAACUGUGUGGUAGAACUUGAGGUUAGGGAAGGAGCAUUUUAAUAAGACUCCUCUCUAGUGAUGCAGAUACUUCAGUGACCACACACAGAAAAGAACAUAGACUUCAGAGAAUUCAUUCAGAAAAGUCACUAAAUAAACAUACUACAACAAACUCUGGGAAGGGAAAGAAUCUGAUUUCCAGAGUUGCCACAUUAUAUUGUUUAAAAUGCUCAUUUUGCAACAAAAAAUUAUGAGGCAUGCAAAAAAAAAAAAAAAAAAAAAAACCAAGAAAUUAUGGUCCAUACACAGGAAAAAAUAUAAGGAAGAGAAACUGUGUUUGAGAAAGUUCGGAUAUGGUGUUUACUAGACAAUGACUAAGCAUCAGCCAUUUUAUAUAUAUUUAAGAACUAGAGGCAACCAUGUCUAAAGGACUAAAUAAGGUAUGAGAAAAAUGUCUCCCUAAAUAUCAAUAAAGGGACAUAAAUGAUAAAAAGCAAAUCAAAUGGAAAUUCUAGAGGUGAAAAGCAGAAUAACUGUAAUGAAAAAGUCACUAGAAGAAGUCAUCAGCAAAUUUGAUUAAGCAGAAGAACCAGGGAACAUAAGUCAACUGAAAUUAUUCAGUCUGAGGAGCACAAAGAGAGAAGAAUAAAGAAAAACUGAACAGAGCUACAAAUAACUCUAAAAAUUCAACAAUAAGAAAAUGAACAAUUCAAUUAAAACAUGGAUAAAAGAUCCGAAUAGACAUCACACCAACAGAUGGCAAAUAAGCAUCUGGAAAUAUGCUCAACGUUAGAGAAUUAGGUCAUUAGGAAAAUGCAAAUUAAAACAACGAGAUACCAUUGUAUACUUAGCAGAGUGGCCAAAAUCCAGAAUAUUGCAACACCAAAUGCUGCAAAGGAGGCAGAACAACAGGAACAUUCAUUCAUUGCUGGUGGGAAUAUAAAAUGGGACAACAAUUUUGGAAGACAGUUUGGUUGAUUCUUAUAAAACUUAAUAUUCUUUUACAACAUGAUAUAGCAAUCACCUCCUUGGUAUUUACCCAAAGGAGUUGAAAACUUAGGUCCACACCAAAACCCUACCCAUGGAUGUUUAUAGCAGCUUUACUCAUCAUUGCUAAAACUUGAAGUAAUGAAGGAGUCCUUCAAUAAGUAAAUAAUUAAACUGUGCAAUGCAAUAUUAUUCAGUGCUAAAAAGAAAUGAGCUAUCAAGGCAUGAAAGGACAUGGAACAACUUUAAAUGCAUAUUACUAAGUGGAAAAAAACAAUCUGGAAAGUCUACAUGCUGUAUGAUUUCAACUAUAUGACAUUUUAAAAAGGCAAAACUAGGGAGACUGCAAAAAUAUCAAUGGUUGUCAGUGGUUCGGUGGGAGGGAGGGGGGAUAAAUGGGUAAAGCACAGGAGAUUUUUUUACCGCAAUGAAAAUAUUCUGUACGAUAUUAUUAUGGUGGAUACAUAUCGUCACAUAUUUGUAGAAUAUACAAGAGUGAGCCCUGACAUAAACUAUGAACUUUGGAUGGUAAUUAUGUGUCAAUAGAAGUUUGUUGAUGUUAAUAGUCGGAGAGGUUGUACAGGUGGUAUAUGGAAACUUUGUCUCUUCUGCUUAAUUUUGCUGUGAACCUAAAACUGCUUUGAAAAUAGUCUAUUAGAAAAUAAAAUAAAAUUGUCUCAUGUCUUUUGGA